rnacentral:rRNA from 1 species
GAUGAACGCUGGCGGCGUGCCUAAUACAUGCAAGUCGAGCGAACGGACGAGAAGCUUGCUUUUCUGAUGUUAGCGGCGGACGGGUGAGUAACACGUGGAUAACCUACCUAUAAGACUGGGAUAACUUCGGGAAACCGGAGCUAAUACCGGAUAAUAUUUUGAACCGCAUGGUUCAUAAGUGAAAGACGGUCUUGCUGUCACUUAUAGAUGGAUCCACGCUGCAUUAGCUAGUUGGUAAGGUAACGGCUUACCAAGGCAACGAUGCAUAGCCGACCUGAGAGGGUGAUCGGCCACACUGGAACUGAGACACGGUCCAGACUCCUACGGGAGGCAGCAGUAGGGAAUCUUCCGCAAUGGGCGAAAGCCUGACGGAGCAACGCCGCGUGAGUGAUGAAGGUCUUCGGAUCGUAAAACUCUGUUAUUAGGGAAGAACAUAUGUGUAAGUAACUGUGCACAUCUUGACGGUACCUAAUCAGAAAGCCACGGCUAACUACGUG